rnacentral:rRNA from 1 species
AGAGUUUGAUCCUGGCUCAGAGUGAACGCUGGCGGCGUGCCUAACACAUGCAAGUUGAACGAGAACGGACUUAAGUUUACUUAAGUUGUCAGCUAAGUGGCGCACGGGUGAGUAAUAUAUAGUUAACCUGCCUCAAAGAAGAGAAUAAUUGUUGGAAACGACUUGUAAUGCUCUAUAUGCCUUUAUCACAUAAGUGAGCAAGGGAAAUAUUUAUAGCUUUGAGAUGGGACUGUACGGUAUCAGAUAGUUGGUGAGGUAAUGGCUCACCAAGUCUAUGACGCCUAACUGGUUUGAGAGGAUGAUCAGUCACACUGGAACUGAGACACGGUCCAGACUCCUACGGGAGGCAGCAGUGGGGAAUAUUGCACAAUGGAGGAAACUCUGAUGCAGCAACGCCGCGUGGAGGAUGACACAUUUCGGUGCGUAAACUCCUUUUAUUAGGGAAGAUAAUGACGGUACCUAAUGAAUAAGCACCGGCUAACUCCGUGCCAGCAGCCGCGGUAAUACGGGGGGUGCAAGCGUUACUCGGAAUCACUGGGCGUAAAGAGCAUGUAGGCUGAUUAGUAAGUUGGAAGUGAAAUCCUAUGGCUCAACCAUAGAACUGCUUCCAAAACUGCUUAUCUAGAGUAUGGGAGAGGUAGAUGGAAUUUCUGGUGUAGGGGUAAAAUCCGUAGAGAUCAGAAGGAAUACCGAUUGCGAAGGCGAUCUACUGGAACAUUACUGACGCUGAGAUGCGAAAGCGUGGGGAGCAAACAGGAUUAGAUACCCUGGUAGUCCACGCCCUAAACGAUGCACACUAGUUGUUGCUAUGCUAGACAUAGCAGUAAUGCAGUUAACACAGUAAGUGUGCCGCCUGGGGAGUACGGUCGCAAGAUAAAACUCAAAGGAUAGACGGGGACCCGCACAAGCGGUGGAGCUGUGGGUUUAAUUCGACGAUA